GCCAAACGAUGCAAGCGUUCGAAUCGGUCGUGACGUUGGUGUUACCAGAAUAAGCCAUCGCGGUUGGGCACCGUUUCUUCUCCAUAUCCGCGUAGUACCAUAGCAGUUGGUUUAGACCUAAGUUAACGAAUAACGUCGUUUCGUGAGAGUUAUUUCAGUCAUGGUUUUUACACGGAUCGACCCGUGGAAUUGACAUGGAGAUUUACCGCAGGAAAAGGCGAAUAGCACCAGCACAUAGAGGAAGAAGAACUUCAUGAUGUCCAUCACCAUCCUAGACAGGGAGACUUGCAGUGGACCGAGGCAAACUCGAUAAUAGGGACGAUGCGGUGUAUCGAAUCUGUAUGUCGCCUUAAAGCACUUGACAACUUCGUACGAUAGUGUUGGAAACUCCAAAUCACUCUGAACAGAU
rnacentral:misc_RNA from 1 species